rnacentral:rRNA from 1 species
UACGUAUGGUGCAAGCGUUGUUCGGAAUUACUGGGCGUAAAGGGCUCGUAGGCGGCCAACUAAGUCGGAUGUGAAAUCCCCAGGCUCAACUUGGGAACUGCAUCCGAUACUGGAUGGCUUGAAUUCGGGAGAGGGAUGCAGAAUUCCAAGUGUAGCGGUGAAAUGCGUAGAUAUCUGGAGGAAUACCGGUGGCGAAGGCGGCAUCCUGGACCGACAUUGACGCUGAGGAGCGAAAGCCAGGGGAGCAAACGGG